UGACGGGCAUGUUGCUCUAUGUGUGGGCCGCUGUUGAUGACAUCACCUGGCUCAUACGGCCAGUGUCAGAGGCAAGGGAGCGCGUCGGUAGCCGUCUGAUGAUCAUGACCCUCUGUAUGCGUCUUUUUGGAUGAGACAGGAUAGGUCAAGAAGGGGCGGCGGCUGAUGACGUUAUCCGCCGGCACACGUGCACGGUAAGGAGCAGGGGAGUUUGGAUUCAACAGUGGACACACAGAUAAGCUGCUGACGUGAAUGGAACCAAGAACCAGGAACAUGGAUCGGCAGAGCCUGGAGAACAUAAGGCAGGGUCCUUGGAAGGAGGAAGGUGGGAAUUUUGCUCUGAGAUGCCAACUGAAUCAAGUUAAGGAUCUUGGUUAUAUUGCCUCUGGCCUCGCAACCUCGAACAAAACCAACCUAAUCCCCAUGAAUUAAUUGUGAGAGUAAAGAAUGUAGCCGAUUCUC